rnacentral:lncRNA from 1 species
AAAAUAGCGGGGCCACUAAUAUCUCUGAGAUCAGUCAACAUUGGCCGCUAUUUACCGCUAUUUCUACUCCGAGAACUCGGUUUUUGACCGCUAUUUCAUAAAAUCUAUUUUAGCUAUGCCGAUUGCUUUUUCUAUCUCUUUUUUCCUUCUUCUAUUGAUUAAUUUCAUAUAAGUAAACGAUUAACUUAUUUAUAAGAAAUAUUUAAUUGAUUGAUUUUACUUAAUUCAGUGAAUUGAUUGGAUUUAGAUUUUAGAACAGAGGAACUAUGUAUUUCUCUUCUAUUAAUUAAUUAAUGAAAUAUAUAUUACAUAAUAUUUAAAAACCACUAUCCCACCGCUAUCUCACCACGAGAACCGCUAUUUUAACUCAUGGCAACUGACCGUGAUUAGAUUUUGGACCUUGAUAACUGCAUAAGGAAGAACUUAGCACUUUGGGCUCACAUCAACCGGAUAGAAAACAAACUCGUUGAAAGGUAGCAAUUUAAACUCAAGCCAAUUAUAGCCAAGGAUGAAAGAACUUAAGCUCAAAUGGAUUGAUUGAAUCGACGACAUGCAAAUCAAUUCCACAAUCGACAUCCUUAACACCUUUUACCACCUACACAUCAGUCUUGUCGUUGCAAUUCUACUCAAUUAAAUGAUAGCAUAUGUUGACACAAUUUUUUUUUAUGUUCGUCGAAAAUUGAGAGACCUCACAUAAUGGUGGGAAAGUAUAAGCUACAAUACACUUAUUCUUCCUUAAUUCUUGGUACGUAUCUAUAAUCCUACUAGUUUGUUUUUAUUAGCUUUACCCUUUUCUAUGUAUGAUUCCGCUAUAUAAUAACAUAUAUUCACACAAGCUUAUUGUUUUUUUAUGUCAUAUGACUAUAUAUGUUUAUUAAUAUAUGUAAAGAAUUCUAUUAUUUAUCAAUAUAUACAACUAACACAAUUUAUAUAACCUAGCAAAAUUUUGUUGAGUACUUUUUUCAUCACAUCUAGUAAGAGAUAGCCACAAGUAUUUGCAUUUUAAGAUUAUUAGGCCAUGCUUCCCUUUGAUAUUUUAUUUGGAUAAUAUGAAUUGGUGAGGGUUCUCACUUCUCAAUGAUAUUUUCUUUUCACCUCAUCCUUACCUAAAUUAGAUCACAUGGAAGAGAAGGUUCUCAAUGAUAUUAAAGUAACUUGAAACUAUACCCCCCUUUACUGUAAGACCUAUUGACCAUGUUAUAUCUCAAUCAGAAGGGUAUUAUGGGGAAUAGAAAAAUUCGCUCAAACGUUUCAGGUGUCUUUUAAAACCAACAAAAUAUAAAGAUUAAAAUUAGGCCAUCAGACAUAGUUGCAUGGUUAGAGUUAAUG